rnacentral:rRNA from 1 species
AUUGAACGCUGGCGGCAGGCUUAACACAUGCAAGUCGAGCGGGGGAAGGUAGCUUGCUACCGGACCUAGCGGCGGACGGGUGAGUAAUGCUUAGGAAUCUGCCUAUUAGUGGGGGACAACAUCUCGAAAGGGAUGCUAAUACCGCAUACGUCCUACGGGAGAAAGCAGGGGAUCUUUGGACCUUGCGCUAAUAGAUGAGCCUAAGUCGGAUUAGCUAGUUGGUGGGGUAAAGGCCUACCAAGGCGACGAUCUGUAGCGGGUCUGAGAGGAUGAUCCGCCACACUGGGACUGAGAAACGGCCCAGACUCCUACGGGAGGCAGCAGUGGGGAAUAUUGGACAAUGGGGGGAACCCUGAUCCAGCCAUGCCGCGUGUGUGAAGAAGGCCUUAUGGUUGUAAAGCACUUUAAGCGAGGAGGAGGCUACUUUAGUUAAUACCUAGAGAUAGUGGACGUUACUCGCAGAAUAAGCACCGGCUAACUCUGUGCCAGCAGCCGCCGUAAAAC